UGCAAGUAGAACGCUGAAGAGAGGAGCUUGCUCUUCUUGGAUGAGUUGCGAACGGGUGAGUAACGCGUAGGUAACCUGCCUGGUAGCGGGGGAUAACUAUUGGAAACGAUAGCUAAUACCGCAUGAAAUUGAAUAUCGCAUGAUACUUAAUUGAAAGAUGCAACUGCAUCACUACCAGAUGGACCUGCGUUGUAUUAGCUAGUUGGUGAGGUAACGGCUCACCAAGGCGACGAUACAUAGCCGACCUGAGAGGGUGAUCGGCCACACUGGGACUGAGACACGGCCCAGACUCCUACGGGAGGCAGCAGUAGGGAAUCUUCGGCAAUGGGGGGAACCCUGACCGAGCAACGCCGCGUGAGUGAAGAAGGUUUUCGGAUCGUAAAGCUCUGUUGUAAGAGAAGAACGGGUGUGAGAGUGGAAAGUUCACACUGUGACGGUAUCUUACCAGAAAGGGACGGCUAACUACGUGCCAGCAGCCGCGGUAAUACGUAGGUCCCGAGCGUUGUCCGGAUUUAUUGGGCGUAAAGCGAGCGCAGGCGGUUAGAUAAGUCUGAAGUUAAAGGCUGUGGCUUAACCAUAGUAUGCUUUGGAAACUGUUUAACUUGAGUGCAGAAGGGGAGAGUGGAAUUCCAUGUGUAGCGGUGAAAUGCGUAGAUAUAUGGAGGAACACCGGUGGCGAAAGCGGCUCUCUGGUCUGUAACUGACGCUGAGGCUCGAAAGCGUGGGGAGCAAACAGGAUUAGAUACCCUGGUAGUCCACGCCGUAAACGAUGAGUGCUAGGUGUUAGGCCCUUUCCGGGGCUUAGUGCCGCAGCUAACGCAUUAAGCACUCCGCCUGGGGAGUACGACCGCAAGGUUGAAACUCAAAGGAAUUGACGGGGGCCCGCACAAGCGGUGGAGCAUGUGGUUUAAUUC
rnacentral:rRNA from 1 species